GACGAACGCUGGCGGCGUGCCUAAUACAUGCAAGUUGAGCGCUGAAGGUUGGUACUUGUACCAACUGGAUGAGCAGCGAACGGGUGAGUAACGCGUGGGGAAUCUGCCUUUGAGCGGGGGACAACAUUUGGAAACGAAUGCUAAUACCGCAUAAAAACUUUAAACACAAGUUUUAAGUUUGAAAGAUGCAAUUGCAUCACUCAAAGAUGAUCCCGCGUUGUAUUAGCUAGUUGGUGAGGUAAAGGCUCACCAAGGCGAUGAUACAUAGCCGACCUGAGAGGGUGAUCGGCCACAUUGGGACUGAGACACGGCCCAAACUUCUACGGGAGGCAGCAGUAGGGAAUCUUCGGCAAUGGACGAAAGACUGACCGAGCAACGCCGCGUGAGUGAAGAAGGUUUUCGGAUCGUAAAACUCUGUUGGUAGUGAAGAACGUUGGUGAGAGUGGAAAGCUCAUCAAGUGACGGUAACUACCCAGAAAGGGACGGCUAACUACGUG
rnacentral:rRNA from 1 species